AUUGAAAUUUCCUCUACAAAAUAUCGAUAGUUUUUGAAAACCGAGUAUUUAUAGCAGAUAAAGUCGGAAAUACAUAUGAUACUAACUGCAUGCACUAAAGAAAGGAUAUAUUCUCUCAGCGGCGUUUGCCUCAAAGAUUUUUUCAAUUAAAAAGUAUUUAACUCUAUGUUUUGAGUUAAAAACAGAUGUUUUUAAAGACCUCUGCUAUCCCUAAAAAUCCACGUAUCUUACCAGCUGAUGUAAGAUACUCAACUACCAAGAACUUUAAUAUGUAAGGACAGAAACCUUUCGAAACUUUCCAGAUCACGAUUUGUAUAAUUUAAAUCAAAAAGCUGUAGAUUUGGGUUUAUCGACUACGGAGCCGAUUUAGUCCGGAUUUUUUCAACAGCGAGAUCUCAGAAAAAUCGAAAAACACUGCUUCUUACUCACCAAAAAAAUCCCUAAAAUCACAGUAAAGUGCUUCAGGAAAUGCGGAUCCUUUUUUUGAUAAAAAGGAAAUUUGCUUGCUUUUUUAAGAUCUCACACAAACAGAACUAAAUCUUUCACCCUCUCUUAUGGUGAGUUAGUGGUAAACGAUAAAUACUUGAAGGUUACAUAUUAGUAACUCAAUUAUUGUACCAUUCGAUUCCACUAUGUUAAACCAAUUGUAUUACAUAAAUGAUAAAGAAUUUCAUUGUUCAACUCGAGUUUUUCUAAUAAACCAUUUUUAUUUAUAGACUGCAGUGACUACUUAUUCAAAUUCACAUUGAAUAUGAGAAUAAAAACAUUCCAAAAUUUCUUAACAUUUUCUUGUCAUAAUAAAAAGUUAAUCACCAGGCUUCUGUUUAAAGGUUUUACCAUUAUUUAAUAUUUGGUAUUUCAAACACAGAGCAUAAAUACCCGUCGCAGAAUUGAAAAAUAAAAUCCUAAAUUUUUUAUAAUUGCCCAUUAUAUGCGUCUUUCGAACGUAAAUAAUCAUCACUAAAAACCAAAUCCUACAAAUUUUUACAAAAAUAAUACACAAAUACCAUUUUGUGAAACAUUAAUUAUCCCUCAACUCAAUAUUUUGGUAGCUUCAUUCCUAACUGUCAUCUUGGAAAGAUUCGAAUAACACAAAAGAAGAAACAAACACAAAAAAAACAGAUUCACGGAACUAAUCAAAAGAUAGAUGGAUAUGUGCAAAACAAAAGCUUAACAAGUAAACCAAUUUCCUUCGUCUAUUAUAGAGAAAUUUUUGAAUACCGCUAAAUGCAA